GGGUGUGGCUCAGUGGUAGAGCAUUCGCCUAGCAUGUGCGAGGCCCUGGGUUUGAUCCUCAGCACCACA
rnacentral:tRNA from 1 species